CUAAAACAUUUAAAUAUUUUUCUGGCAGGAGGUGAAAUCAAGGUUACUUUGGUUUAGGACUUUGAUAUAACGUUUAUAAGUAGUUUAGUCAGUGAGACUGGUAAGAACUAACACUGGGAAUGGGGUGUAUUUAGUACUAAAUCUGACUCAACGCCCUAUGCAUUAAAAACCUUAACCUGUGCUCAAAGUUAAAUUACUAUUUGCCUGAGAAUCGGCCACUGAGAGUUGAGUCCCAAAUUUUGUCCUGUAUAUUUUUUGCUGAAACUUUGAUAACCACUAACUCAUCAUAUGAACAUUAGGUAUUUUUUUACUCGUACACCAGUCUCGAGAUGGCUUUACUUACCCUUCUCAUCUGAUAGAGCUUUUCAUCCUGAGCAAUUUGAACCCCAUAUAUACCCAUCGCAAAUUAUUUAUCAUGUUGACAGUGAUUUUUAAAGAUUUACCUAUUUCGGGCAAACGCCCAUUGAGCAGCCGCAACAUACCCUCAGGUGUAUUGUCUGGGUGGUAACUGACAGUGAUUUAUUAAAGAUUUAUCUACUUGGGGCAAUGUAGGUUACUAUCGAGUGGCUAGGUUACGAUCGAGUGGCUAGUUUACUAUUGAGUGGCUAGGUUACUAUCGAGUGGCUAGGUUACUAUCGAGUGGCUAGGUUACUAUUGAGUGGCUAGGUUACUAUCGAGUGGCUAGGUUACUAUUGAGUGGCUAGGUUACUAUUGAGUGGCUAGGUUACUAUCGAGUGGCUAGGUUACUAUUGAGUGGCUAGGUUACUAUUGAGUGGCUAGGUUACUAUCGAGUGGCUAGGUUACUAUCGAGUGGCUAGGUUACUAUUGAGUGGCUAGGUUACUAUCGAGUGGCUAGGUUACUAUCGAGUGGCUAGGUUACUAUCGAGUGGCUAGGUUACUAUCGAGUGGCUAGGUUACUAUUGAGUGGCUAGGUUACUAUCGAGUGGCUAGGUUACUAUCGAGUGGCUAGGUUACUAUCGAGUGGCUAGGUUACUAUUGAGUGGCUAGGUUACUAUUGAGUGGCUAGGUUACUAUUGAGUGGCUAGGUUACUAUCGAGUGGCUAGGUUACUAUUGAGUGGCUAGGUUACUAUCGAGUGGCUAGGUUACUAUUGAGUGGCUAGGUUACUAUCGAGUGGCUAGGUUACUAUCGAGUGGCUAGGUUACUAUCGAGUGGCUAGUUUACUAUUGAGUGGCUAGGUUACUAUCGAGUGGCUAGGUUACUAUCGAGUGGCUAGGUUACUAUCGAGUGGCUAGGUUACUAUCGAGUGGCUAGGUUACUAUCGAGUGGCUAGGUUACUAUUGAGUGGCUAGGUUACUAUUGAGUGGCUAGGUUACUAUCGAGUGGCUAGGUUACUAUCGAGUGGCUAGGUUACUAUCGAGUGGCUAGGUUACUAUCGAGUGGCUAGGUUACUAUCGAGUGGCUAGGUUACUAUCGAGUGGCUAGGUUACUAUCGAGUGGCUAGGUUACUAUCGAGUGGCUAGGUUACUAUCGAGUGGCUAGGUUACUAUCGAGUGGCUAGGUUACUAUCGAGUGGCUAGGUUACUAUCGAGUGGCUAGGUUACUAUCGAGUGGCUAGGUUACUAUCGAGUGGCUAGGUUACUAUCGAGUGGCUAGGUUACUAUUGAGUGGCUAGGUUACUAUCGAGUGGCUAGGUUACUAUCGAGUGGCUAGGUUACUAUCGAGUGGCUAGGUUACUAUCGAGUGGCUAGGUUACUAUCGAGUGGCUAGGUUACUAUCGAGUGGCUAGGUUACUAUCGAGUGGCUAGGUUACUAUCGAGUGGCUAGGUUACGAUCCAAGGGCUUAAUGAUCUUUAGUUUCGUUUCCAGUAGGAAAUUCCUAUGGCUGCGUGUACUGUGAGUGUGUGCCGCUGCUGCUUCUCAUUUGUGAGGACGAAACUAUUUUUUCCUGGUAGAUUUCUGUCUAUUUAAGGGUUUUUAGUGAUUAGGCUAUGAAGUGUAGACUAACUCAACAAGAUUACCACUAGGACAACAACGUACAACAAUUAAUUACAAUUAAUUACCAUUGUUAUUCAUCCAGGUCUCACAAAAUUACACGCAGUAUUGUUGAACGUGGAAUUGGACAACUCAAACGCCGAUUUCAUGUUUUGCAUGGUGAGGUACGAUUGAGGCCCCCCCUCAAGGUGUGCAAAAUCAUUCAUGUGUGUGGAAUGCUGCACAAUAUUUGCAAGGAUAGGAAUCUUCCUCUUCCUCUGGAUGACGAGCAACCAAUGGGUGCAGAGGCACAAGUCCCAGUGCCAUUAAAUGAUGCUGCAGAAGAACCUGCCAAUGCGCCCGGUGGUCACCGUAA